AACGCUAGCUACAGGCUUAACACAUGCAAGUCGCGGGGUAACAUCUGGGAGAGCUUGCUCUUCCAGGAUGACGACCGGCGCACGGGUGAGUAACGCGUAUCCAACCUGGCCCAUACCACGGGAUAGCCCGUCGAAAGGCGGAUUAAUACCGUAUGCUGUCAUUAAGAGGCAUUUUUUGAUGACGAAAGGACUGGCGGUAUGGGAUGGGGAUGCGUCUGAUUAGCUUGUUGGCGGGGUAACGGCCCACCAAGGCGACGAUCAGUAGGGGUUCUGAGAGGAAGGUCCCCCACAUUGGAACUGAGACACGGUCCAAACUCCUACGGGAGGCAGCAGUGAGGAAUAUUGGUCGAUGGGCGCAAGCCUGAACCAGCCAAGUAGCGUGAGGGAAGACUGCCCUACGGGUUGUAAACCUCUUUUGUUUGGGAAUAAAGUGCGGGACGUGUCCCGCAUUGCAUGUACCAUUUGAAUAAGGACCGGCUAAUUCCGUGCCAGCAGCCGCGGUAAUACGGAAGGUCCGGGCGUUAUCCGGAUUUAUUGGGUUUAAAGGGAGCGCAGGCGGUCUUAUAAGCGUGACGUGAAAUGCCGCGGCUCAACCGUGGCACUGCAGCGCGAACUGGAUGACUUGAGUGCGCGGGAGGUAGGCGGAAUUCGUGGUGUAGCGGUGAAAUGCUUAGAUAUCACGAAGAACUCCGAUUG
rnacentral:rRNA from 1 species